rnacentral:misc_RNA from 1 species
UUCUUUUUUCUUGUUUUUUUUUUUCAGUUGAUUUUGAUGUGGGCUAGGUUUUUGUCGGCUCUUCAUUUUCAAACUGAUUUUGUGCAAACUGGUGAAUUCGUUGAGUGGGUCUGUUUUGGAUUAAGUGAUUGUAUUAAAUUUGUAAUGGGUUUUGCCAAAAUGCCUUGAAGUUUGAUAUAGGGGGUUUGUGGAUCUGAAGUUUAGGCAGUAACUGACAUGCAGU